GGAGCUAACGCGUAAAUCGACGCUGGGAGUACGGCCGCAAGGUUAAAACUCAAAUGAAUUGACGGGGGCCCGCACAAGCGGUGGAGCAUGUGGUUUAAUUCGAUGCAACGCGAAGAACCUUACCUACUCUUGACAUCCAGAGAAUUUAGCAGAGAUGCUUUAGUGCCUUCGGGAACUCUGAGACAGGUGCUGCAUGGCUGUCGUCAGCUCGUGUUGUGAAAUGUUGGGUUAAGUCCCGCAACGAGCGCAACCCUUAUCCUUUGUUGCCAGCACGUUAUGGUGGGAACUCAAAGGAGACUGCCGGUGAUAAACCGGAGGAAGGUGGGGAUGACGUCAAGUCAUCAUGGCCCUUACGAGUAGGGCUACACACGUGCUACAAUGGCGUAUACAAAGAGAAGCGACCUCGCGAGAGCAAGCGGAACUCAUAAAGUACGUCGUAGUCCGGAUUGGAGUCUGCAACUCGACUCCAUGAAGUCGGAAUCGCUAGUAAUCGUAGAUCAGAAUGCUACGGUGAAUACGUUCCCGGGCCUUGUACACACCGCCCGUCACACCAUGGGAGUGGGUUGCAAAAGAAGUAGGUAGCUUAACCUUCGGGAGGGCGCUUACCACUUUGUGAUUCAUGACUGGGGUGAAGUCGUAACAAGGUAACCA
rnacentral:rRNA from 1 species